rnacentral:rRNA from 1 species
UACGUAGGGUGCGAGCGUUACUCGGAAUUACUGGGCGUAAAGCGUGCGCAGGCGGUGAUGUAAGACAGGUGUGAAAUCCCCGGGCUUAACCUGGGAACUGCAUUUGUGACUGCAUCGCUGGAGUGCGGCAGAGGGGGAUGGAAUUCCGCGUGUAGCAGUGAAAUGCGUAGAGAUGCGGAGGAACACCGAUGGCGAAGGCAGCCCCCUGGGCUGACACUGACGCUCAGGCACGAAAGCGUGGGGAGCAAACAGG